rnacentral:rRNA from 2 species
UAAGCCCACCAGCGCCGAUGGUACUGCUAACGCGGGAGAGUAGGUCGCCGCCAGUU